GAAACUGUCCAUUACUGAGUGAACUGUCUCUGGAUGACUAUCCUAUUUUGCUGUUAGUGCAACGUUCCCAACUUUCCUUCCUAUAUCCUCGGAAGAAGCUAAGUUUUUUAGGGGGAACAAGUAGAUGUAAUGGUAUGUGAGAAAGACCUUGGGAGAUGGAGAGAAGAGAUGGUCCUACCGAACUAUCAGGAGGCUUCUCCCUGAUAAAGAAGACUAAAAGCUUUCCUAUGAAUUUUACUAAAGGCCAAUGAAGAAAAGAGCAGAGGAAAGGAUCAAAUAUUUCAAAGAAUUCAAGCCUCCUUCCGAUUUAUUUAUUGUUUUAAAACAUUUAUAGAGCCACAAAUCUUAUAAUAAACUCUGGAUGGCUCCCAAUCAAACAUUAUAAACAUCUCUGCAUCUGAAUCAUAUUGUGUAGGUACUCCUGGCUCA